rnacentral:rRNA from 1 species
GAGUUUGAUCCUGGCUCAGGACGAACGCUGGCGGCGUGCUUAACACAUGCAAGUCGAACGAACUCGAGACUUCGGUCUCAAUGAGUUAGUGGCGAACGGGUGAGUAACACGUGAGAAACCUGCCCCAAAGUUUGGAAUAACCCAGAGAAAUUUGGACUAAUACCAGAUGCCCUCACGGAAUCGAAUGGUUCUGUAAGGAAAGAUUUAUCGCUUUGGGAGGGUCUCGCGGCCUAUCAGCUAGUUGGUGAGGUAAUAGCUCACCAAGGCAUCGACGGGUAGCUAGUCUGAGAGGACGAAUAGCCACACUGGAACUGAGACACGGUCCAGACUCCUACGGGAGGCAGCAGUGGGGAAUCUUGCACAAUGGGCGAAAGCCUGAUGCAGCGACGCCGCGUGGGGGAUGAAGGCCUUAGGGUCGUAAACCCCUUUCAGGAGGGACGAAAAUGACGGUACCUCCAGAAGAAGCCCCGGCCAACUACGUGCCAGCAGCCGCGGUAAUA